CCACACCGGGUGGACAUGUGGUUUAUUCGAAGCAACGCGAAGAACCUUACCAGGUCUUGACAUCCUCUGACAACUCUAGAGAUAGAGCGUUCCCCUUCGGGGGACAGAGUGACAGGUGGUGCAUGGUUGUCGUCAGCUCGUGUCGUGAGAUGUUGGGUUAAGUCCCGCAACGAGCGCAACCCUUGAUCUUAGUUGCCAGCAUUUAGUUGGGCACUCUAAGGUGACUGCCGGUGACAAACCGGAGGAAGGUGGGGAUGACGUCAAAUCAUCAUGCCCCUUAUGACCUGGGCUACACACGUGCUACAAUGGAUGGUACAAAGGGCUGCAAGACCGCGAGGUCAAGCCAAUCCCAUAAAACCAUUCUCAGUUCGGAUUGUAGGCUGCAACUCGCCUACAUGAAGCUGGAAUCGCUAGUAAUCGCGGAUCAGCAUGCCGCGGUGAAUACGUUCCCGGGCCUUGUACCACCCGCCCGUUA
rnacentral:rRNA from 2 species